AUCAGAUGACACCGAUGAAGUCACACCUGAAAAGCGAGCAUCUGUUCAAGACACAUAUGGCUGCAUAAAGUGGGACAUGAAGUUUUUGCCAGUCAGUGAGACACUGGAAACCCAGCAGGAGAAGAAGGAACGUAUGAAGAUUCUCAGUGAACAGACAAGCUUCAGUCAUGAAGAAGUAAAAACUCUAAUGAAAUGCACCUACUACUCUCAGCGCAAAGCAAUAAACAGCGGAGCAGACAUGCAAACCCUCAAAGAAGAGUGGCCUUAUUUGUUUCAGGCGAUUGGAAUGACAGUCCAUUUUGAAGAACUUACUGGGGUACCGCUGAAAGAGACUUUCCUCACCAGUCUAGAAAAGAAGGGAAAACGGCUUCUGGACUUUCUGAAAACCACUUGUGCAGACAAGAGCAAGCGUGUCUUGGAGGCUGUCAUAGAACUGCAGAGGGGACAGCUGAAGGGCUGCUCAGAAGACCUGAAAGAUAUGAUGCUCCUCCUCCUCUCCUAUUUCGAUGAAAAAGAGGAGACCCUCUUCCACUAUGCUGAUGAAACAUGUCUGGCAAAAGAAGUCCAAGUGGAAAGCCUGCCUGUGACACCAUGUAUCAUUGGUUGUGGAUCCUCCUGCUUUGCAUCGAGACUGUUCAUGCUCAGCAUUGACCACAAAGUUGUAAAUGACCAAAUGACUGACUUCAUCUCUGCAAUCUGUCUGAUGCUUGGUAGCUACUACUGCCUGAACAUCCACUAUCCCCUGGAACUUGGCUCCACACUUGAAUUCCUUCAGAGGUGUUUCUUCAACAUUAACCCAGAGAAGGGAACAAAAGUUGAAAAAACUAAGAAGAAGACACUGCAUGUGAACCCAAGAGUACUCACCCUCAUCGCCGAUCUCUCUGAUCACGAGUGGCGAGAGACUGUUUAAAGACAUUUUGAACAGAUCGGUACAGUCAGCUUAACUGUACCUUGACUGGGAACUACUGUGUUGUUUAUGUUUUCAGUUAUCCCAGCUGAUAUUGAGUACUGUACUCUUACCUGAUUUCUGUUAUCACAGGCAUGCUUUUCAGAGGUUUUUACCAUAUAUCUUUAAACAAUCCCUCUAACUAGGGAUUGUUACUGAGAACUGUACUUUUGAUGUUUCAGAGAUGUUCUAUAUUCUAUACAAGAGUUUAAACUAUUUGAAUUUUGUAUUGCCCUAAUUAGCAAACAAGUUAAGUGUUGCACUGAACUGUUAACAUUGAAAUUUAAACAGCACUGUCUGUUACAAACAUUACUUUACGUUACAUUGACUUUAACUGUUAUUAUAGCAUUUUGUAACUGUACGUUUCUGCAAAAGUGAUGUCACAAGCUUAUGUGUUUGUUCAAAUUCAUGUUUUCCUGAAAAUGGUUAAUAUACAUUUGUUAGUUGACUUUAAGUGUAGAGCUUAAGCAGUUUUGGCUUUCUUUUUUCAUAAUGCCAGGAGAAGCUUUACAUGCUUGUUUUGCCUUUAUUUGUUUAAAGCAAUAUAUUUGACUAGCAGCAAGUGUGUGGAGGUCAAAAUAUGUUCAAGACAAUAAAAAUGUCAGUGAAGGACAUCUGAAAUUUUGUUGCAGUGGUUUUCUGAUGCAUGUGUUUUAAGGGUUAAGGGUGGUGGCACAGCUAAGACCCAAGAGUCUCUUUCAAGACACUGAAUUUGAGCAGAAACCAUAAGGAUACUCAAAGGACCUGUGACUCUCAGGAAAUGCAUCAAAUGAGAGUGACAGAUGAAACAGUUUCAAGACAAUGGCAGGUAAAGCAUGCUGAAGAUUGAAACAAACCUUGGCUGGAAAUAUUUGAAGGUAUCUAGCCGGUCCACAAUGAAAGUUUCGUUGCCCCCCAUGAGUCUUCUGGCAGAAAUGAUGGUGCCUGUAUUCUUUGGUUUCCCUAAACAUCACACCCUGCCUGUUUAUACGAGGCUCUUCAAUUAAGUCUGCACCCAAAGAUUCAAUAAGAGAGGGGAUCCUGUCAGUCCAAAGUGAACUCCUGAUGGACAUUGAAGUACUCCUGCAGAGCUUGUAUCUUCGACACCAUGCGCAUUAGAAACUCCACUGAGUCCUUUCCUUCACUAAGGCAGGACCCAGUGACUCAUUACUGUUUAUAGGGGCAGGUAAUUUUUUGUUUCAUGUUUAUUCAUUCCUCCAUGGAUUACCAGCCAUAUAUAUGGACACAUGCUGUAUUCUCAAGAUCUAUGCUGUUUGGUAGGAAUAGAGAAAAUGAUAUGUUUAGUCUGUUUUCAAAUGGUAUGUCAAAUUUUCUCAUUGUUUAUCAGUAAUGUUCACUACCUUGGUUAUAUAUGAGCAUCUUUAGAUUUUUCUAUAUUUAGCAGUUGCAAAUGUAAAAUGUACAGUAAACUAUUUAUGUUCCUCAUAUUGUACUGUAUUUUUAGCGGUAAAAUACCGGCAGCUGUGGUUGCCAGGAAUUUACCGUAAAAUGUAUCUGGUCAAAAUAAAAUGCUGUAAUUUGUUAUACAAUUUCACUGUGUUUUUUACUGUCAAAGGUUUU